rnacentral:rRNA from 1 species
AGAGUUUGAUCCUGGCUCAGAGCGAACGCUGGCGGCAUGCUUAACACAUGCAAGUCGCACGGUCGGGGCAACCCGGCAGUGGCGGACGGGUGAGUAACGCGUAGGUAUCUGUCCAUGGGUGGGGGAUAACGGCGGGAAACUGCUGCUAAUACCGCAUGACACCUGAGGGUCAAAGGCCGUGAUCUGAUCGCAGCGCCGUC